CCCUAUUCUUACUCGAGUCCUCUUCAUCUCCACACACUCCUCUGUAUCCAGUUUCCCUCUUCACUUUACCAUCUCCUCGAUUCUACUUUUGCCACCUACAUUACCCCAUUGAAGAAGAAGUCCCAUGAGAGCAUCAGUAGUAGGUUGCUUGUGUCAUGAAGAGUGGCAAGUACACUUUGGGUUACAAAACUGUGCUUCACACCCUAAGAAGCUCCAAAGUGAAGCUGUUAUCAUUACCAACAAGCGCCCUCCUUUUCAGAAGUCUGAGAUAGAGUACUAUGCGAUGUUGGCUAAAGUUGGGGUUCACCACUAAAAUAGGACGUGAAAGAAGGAUUGGAUUUUAUAAAGAGGCUAUUAGCGAACAGGGUAUGGUGAGAAGAUAAAGAUAGCU